ACACACACACACACACACACACACACACACACACACACACAAGAUCAAGAUCAUACAAGACAGACAUCCACACCAUGCUCCAUUCUGAUAUUAUUUGAAGCCACCAAGAAUAUCUUUUGCUUAGAGUGCUGUCUCGUCUAGGUGGCAGGGUUAAAAUGUCAACAGGAUGGAAAAAGGAGCAAGAAACAAAGUGAGAACCAAAAUGGACGAAGGUGUUUAUUUACACCCUCCGGUAGGUAUGAAUUUCCUAGACAUGAUUUCUCAGACUUCAGACUGGAAGACAGGUUUGGGGACAGAAACACCAGAGAGUCUAUUGAGGAGGAGGGUCAUAUACCUGGAGGACUUAGUGAAAGAACUAAAGGCUAAGCUUAAAAUCGUUGAAAAGUACAAUGAGAUCAUGAAGGCAAACACGGAAGUGCUAAAGAAAAACUAUGAUGACCUGAAGAACAAAGUUUGUGCUAGUGAAAAGAAAAUGGAAGAUAAUGAAGAUCAAAUGAGGAAAAUAAGUGAAUCUUUUUAAAAAGAUUACAAAAUAAUCAGCCAAGGAAAGUGAACAGGUCACCAAAACAGUAGUAAAGGUAACAGAGGAAAAGGAAAAUUUGAUUAGGGAUACUGUGGAAAAGAAGUGCAUUGUUAUCUUUGGAUUAAAGGAAAAAGUUAUGCCAAUUAGACAUGAAAGAGAAGAAUGUGAGAAAAAGCAGGCUCAGAAAGUAAAGAUGGAGGUGAAAGAUGAUGAAAAAGACAGCAAAAGACAGAGUGAAGAAAUUGAAGAAGUCUAUAGACUAGAGAAAUACGAGAAGGGAAAAACAUGUCUGUUAAAUAUUAGAAUAAGAUCCCAAGCAGGCGCUGAGGAAAUCCAGAUAGGCUUGUAGAGGCUGGGAAGGAUAGAAGUGUAUAAAAAUUAAUGGUUGAGACAUGAUCUAAAUGAAGAGGAAAGAGCUAAGCUCAGGCAACUAUGGGAAACAGCCAAAGAAAAAAGCUGCUACUGGAAGGUCAAAGAUACGAGACUAAGGGAGUGGUAAACAAGGCGGGAGAACAAAAGGGAAAUAUGUAAGUAUCACUGUAGAAAAGUAAGAAGAGUAAGAGUAUUAAAAGUUGCAUACACAAAUGUAAAUAGUAUUUUAAUGGCAAAAAUAGAGCUGAAUGAUUAUUUAAGAGAAAACAAGCCUGACAAAAUGGGAUUAACUGAGACAAAAUUGUAAGGAGGACUUGAAGCAUUGGAUAUCAGGGAAAAUAACUACAAUAAAUAGAAGAAAAAAAGAGAAACAAAACAAAGAGGAGGAGUGAUGUUACUUGGAAAGAAAGAGCUGUAGGUGGAUGAAAUAACUAUUGGAGAAGGGAGUGCUGAAGUGGUGCAAGCAUAAGUAAAAAUUCAAGGUGGAAAAAAAGUAGCUUUGCUGUUGUUUAUGUCCCACCCAGAACAAACUCAUGAGGAAAUGAAGAAUACCAGUACAUGCUUAAUGAUACCAGAAAAUGUUUGCAGAGACUAACUGAAAAGUGUAAAAACAUAACAGAGAAGGCUGACAUUAACUGCAAGGAAAUAGUUUGGAAAGACCUGACAACUGAGGGAGGAGAAACAUCUUGAGGACAAAUACUAUUGAAUCUAGCAGUAGACAAUAUCCUAAUUCAAUGAGUGAAGGACAACACAAGGUAUAGAGCAAAUGAAGAUCCAUCAUGUUGGACCUAGUAUUUACUAAAGAACCAGAGAUACUUGAUAACUUGGAUAUACGAGUCCACUCGGUAAAAGUGAUCAUGUAUUACUAGAAUUCAGGCUGAAAGAAGGACUGGAAGUUAGGAAAAAUGACUAUAAAAAUAGAAGGUAAUUUACAGUAAAACUAACUUUGUAGAAUUAAGGAAAUCUUUGAAUAAACAGACUGGACUGAAUUUCACAUAUUGGAGAAAACUGAAGACGUGGAAUAUUUUAAUGGAGAAGUACAAUAAAGGAAUAAUGAAACAUGUGCCAAUCAAGAAAAGAGACAAGCCUAGACACAAGGAGUGGUUUAACAGAAGAUGUGAGUUAGCAAGGAUGGAAAGAGAAAUACAAUAGAAUAGAUGGAGAAUAAAUAGAAGACCAAAUCAUUGUUUAGACUACACCUGAAAAAGAAAUGAGUACGUCAAGAUUUGGAGAAUGGAAUAGAAAAAAUAGAAGGAUAUAGUGGAUAAAUGUAAGGACCAGCAAGUUGAAAAACAAAGGAGAAAUAAGCAAAUUAAAAUACAUUAAUAAAACGUACAAAGGCCCAGAAGAUAUGACGGGAGUGAUGAACAACUGCUUCCAGUCAGUCUUCACCAGAGAAAGUGACUUCCAAUGUCAAACCCCAGUGGAAUUAGCUGAUGGUAUUCACAGAACACAAGUGUCAGUAAAAUAAGUAAGGAAAAUAAUGGAAGAACAAGAUGUAAGAAAAGCCUCAGGUCCUGAUGGAAUGUCAAACUGGAUUGUAAAGAAAUGCAGUCACUAGUUAGCAGACAAAGUCCACAACAUCAUUAUGAGUUCCUUAACAGAGGGUAAAGUACCAACAGACUGGAAAAGAACAGAUAUUGUGACCAAAUUCAAAGAGGAGAAAUAAGGAGGAUCCACUAAACUGCAGACCAAUGUCAUUGACCAGUGUAAUAGCAAAAAUAUGUGAAAGGAUAAUAAAGAAGAAAUGGAUGGAAUAUCUAGAAGAGAAAGAUAUGUUGAGUGAUAAACAGUAUGGGUUCAGAAGAGGAAGAUCAUGUGUCACAAAUUCAAUAAGCUUCUGCUCAAGAGUGGUUGACAUAGUGCAAGAAAAGGAUGGAUAGGUGGACUACAUAUACCUAGAUCUAAAAAGGCAUUUGACAAGGUCCCACACAAAAGGUUACUGUGGAAACUUGAACAAAAUGGAGGACUAAAGGGAGGACUUCUGAAAUAAAUGGCUGACUUUCUUAAAGACAGAGAAAUGAGAACAAUUUCACUUCAUGAUAGUUUAACAGCGUCACAACAGAUUCAAUGAGAUGCCCGCGUCACCCGCCACAUGCCAGUUCGCUCCCAGCUGCCGCACCGUAUACAUCGCCACUCCUCAUCUGCGGUUUAUUUUGGUUACCGGCACUCUCCAAGGAGUUUGGCCCGCUCUCUUAUGGCGGACCGUGAGAAGGUUCCGGAAGGGACGCCAAGGCAUUUCUCCUCUUCUUCCUCCUCGUCCUCGGACAGGAAAAGGCGUGAGAUGGCUCCCCUGACAAGGACGCACAGACUAUCCACCUCCCAGUAAACCAGCUUCCGGAUCAUUGGCAGAGUAUUGAAGAAGAUACAGGCGGACAGGGCAACAGUUUUGACAAUCCUACCUCUUUGGACGACCCAAGUAUGGUUUCCAAAAGCUUUUCAACUGAUGAUCAGCUUCAUCCAGUAAAGCAGCCCUGAAGCUCCCACUAUCCACCAUUUUGUCCUCUGUGGGUUGGACCAAUGCAUCAAUCUUUGCAAAAUAUUACAGGAGACCUCUAAAUAAACAUAGUCAGUUUGCAAAUGCUGUGUUGUCUUAAAUUCUUGUUUGUCGGGUUUAUCUCCUUUCUUGUGUGUAUAAAAUUAUGCACUGUUCUGAGCCAAUGUAUUUCCAUUUUUUCUGUUCUGGAGUUAAUUGAUUAAAGCAUCUCUUUGGGA
rnacentral:lncRNA from 1 species